GGAAACUGAAAAAUGGUGGAGCUGUUGAAUAUAUAGGUUGAUGGAGGGAAGAGAAGUUAGUUAUAGAGUGAAGAGAUCUCAGCCCUUGAUUGAGUAGGUUUGUUACACAAUGGAUGGAGAGGAUUGAAUCUGUUUCAGAGGGCUGUUUCGACUGAAAAUGGUGUAGGGACUGUUUUCUUUUUGAACUGUUUAGACUUAGCGGGAUAGAAGAGCCUUGAGCCUUACACUUGAAGCAUGGUUGAAAGUUGGAAGACACGUGGCUUGGAACUUGAAGAAAAGAUAUGUAAUACGGAAUCAAAGAGGCCAACACAAAAUCGAUGGGAGUUUAGGAUUGGAGACAGUAGGCUAAGGGCACAUUUUGUGUAGUUUGUCUUGAUGGUGUAAUAUUUGGAAAUGUUUAUAUUGGAAAUGGCCUUGUACUGAAAUAGAUUUGAAACCCAAAAUAUGUAAUAGUUUAUCUUGUAAUUGGAAUAAAACUUUGA